AUUGAACGCUGGCGGCAGGCUUAACACAUGCAAGUCGAGCGGUAACAGAGAGAAGCUUGCUUCUCUGCUGACGAGUGGCGAACGGGUGAGUAAUACAUCGGAACGUGCCCAGUCGUGGGGGAUAACUACUCGAAAGAGUAGCUAAUACCGCAUACGAUCUGAGGAUGAAAGCGGGGGACCUUCGGGCCUCGCGCGAUUGGAGCGGCCGAUGGCAGAUUAGGUAGUUGGUGGGAUAAAAGCUUACCAAGCCGACGAUCUGUAGCUGGUCUGAGAGGACGACCAGCCACACUGGGACUGAGACACGGCCCAGACUCCUACGGGAGGCAGCAGUGGGGAAUUUUGGACAAUGGGCGAAAGCCUGAUCCAGCAAUGCCGCGUGCAGGAUGAAGGCCUUCGGGUUGUAAACUGCUUUUGUACGGAACGAAAAAGCUUCUCCUAAUACGAGAGGCCCAUGACGGUACCGUAAGAAUAAGCACCGGCUAACUACGUGCCAGCAGCCGCCGUAAAAC
rnacentral:rRNA from 1 species